UUCCCGUUCUAGUUUCGUCGCUUAAAUAUGGACGUUCUAGUGUCGGGUGGGCGUUCUAGUGACGCAUUCGAAAUACAUCUAGCGGCAAAGAAUCAUUCCCCAAGUUCUUAUGUCGCUAAAUCCGUUCUACUGUCGCAGAGAAAUUUAGAGGUUUUCCGUCCUAUUGUCGUUACUUAAAUGUGGACGUUCUAGUGUCGCAGCGGAAUUUAGAGGUUUUUCCGUUCUAAUGUCGUGGCUAAAAUGUGGACGUUCUAGUGUCGGAAGGACGUUCUAGUGUCGCGUUCUAGUGACGCAUUCGAUUAGUCCUUGUGGUUAUUAGUCCCAAUGUCGCUAUCCCGACUAAAAUACUAGUUUCAUCGCCAUCUAUGAUUCACAUUUAAAAACUACUGAUAUGGAACGAUAAGUCUUCGUUACUCAAGCCCGCCGCCAUUUUUUUCGAACACUGAAAGCAUGCUGAAAGCGUAUCAAUAUAUAAUCCGUACGGCGUAUUUUCCUUCCUGACAUUUUUCUUCAUAAAAAUGCUGAUCAUGUGGCCUGAGCAUCUGUACAUUUUGCCAAGAUGUCGUCUCUUUUUCCUGUACCGGCUGUACGUUUUGUAAGAAACACUUCAGAACAAAUCAGUGAUAAACAGUCUGAUAAAGUCUGAGCUUCAUCGUUGCUGCCCAAUCUACACAUGGAUUUGAUGCAGCCAGCUGCCAGCUGGUAAAGGGUGUUCCUCUUGCUACCUGGACUGAUGUGUGCUUCUUCACGAAGAAACAUAUACAACUGAAGUAAUUAUUUCAAUCAACUUUCUAAUUGUCUGGCUGAUUCAAAAAGCUUGCUAACUGACACUGAGAGGUUUAUCGUGUAUGUUCGCGUAGUUCCUGUCCGCUGUGGUACGUUGUUGCAGCCUAUGCUGGUUAUAGAUCUUUCUACAUCAAAUUCAAUUGGCCGUUUGGUGCUGGUGUCGUGUUACCGAAGUUGCAUUAUUAUUUUAUGAAAUUGGCAUUGUGUCAAUGUAGUAUACCGUUAAUAUGUUAAGAAGGAACAAAAAAGAAAUAUGGGGAUGUUUAUUUCAAACAAAUAAUAAACAUGUUUUCGGGAUUGGGAAAGGAAAGAGGAGGAUGUGGAAGGGGGAUAUUUCAAGUUUGGUUAAAAAACAGUUAAUUAAUAUAACCCUGCAAACAUAUCCCUACCAAUUAAUCUCCAAACCCCACAAACUUAUACCUUCUAAUUCUUCUGACCCCACAAACAUUACACCUACCAACCCUCAAAUGUAUACCCUAAACCACAUAAACCAAUGUCUAACCCUAUGUCUGUAAUAAAUAAACAAAUUUUAUACAUCAAACUAGUUUUUA